UCAUCCCUUCAGUCUCAUCACACAGUAUCUGCCCCAGAACGUGUAGUUAACUGCGGAUAAACACAUUGCCUGCGACUGCCGGGGCUUAUAUCGGUACCUUCAACUCGCACAGUAGCCCAUUAAAGAGAGAAAACUUCAGCGAGGUCGGGAACUGUCCCAAGGGAGCGCAUUCCUCACCCAGAGCACGACUAAAGCUACUUUACCAUCAGCCUCCAAUGACCAGAACAGAAGACCCACCUGUUGAUCCAACAUGGCUCCUCGGCCUCUGAAGCGGUGAAUUGGAAGCUCGGUUUCCAACCUGAGCGCUGCCGCGAGACAGGCGGGAGCAGAGAGCAGCGGCCAGAAAUGGGUGGAAAGGAAAGCAGGACGAGGCGAAGGCAGACAAUGCGGCCACGCCGAACAGCCACCGGACCAGACACCCAACAUCACUAAUUAACAGUUGUCUCAGCGGUUCACCUACGCGGGGUCACGCGUGACUUCGGCUCAUAUUUACAGCACACGUUAAAGAAUGAGGGACCCUGCCGCAUAAACUGACUUCAAUGUGGACUUUAAAUUCACAGAUUCACACAAUCUGUAGUUAAGAUGAGAAUUUACCUUGAAAAAGUUAGAAUAUAAGGCUAAAAUAUAUUCUCUUUAAUUCCAUUGUAUCAAUAAAUGAAUGACCAUAAAAAAACAUUUCCACUGACCCACAUUAUAGAGGAGUUCACUGACAUUGACUGUUCCUAUUUACUUAAACUAGUCAUAUCUGAUUAAAUCUAUCUCUAUACAUAUGUGUAUCUAUCAUAUAUUAUUGAAGAUGCUGUCUAUAACUUGCAAAGAUUUUAUUCCUAAAUCCCCAGUUUCAUUUUAUUAUCAUAAAAAAUAAAAAAGACAAGUUUC